rnacentral:rRNA from 1 species
UACGAAGGGGGCUAGCGUUGCUCGGAAUCACUGGGCGUAAAGGGUGCGUAGGCGGGUUUUUAAGUCAGGGGUGAAAUCCUGGAGCUCAACUCCAGAACUGCCUUUGAUACUGAAAAUCUUGAGUUCGGGAGAGGUGAGUGGAACUGCGAGUGUAGAGGUGAAAUUCGUAGAUAUUCGCAAGAACACCAGUGGCGAAGGCGGCUCACUGGCCCGAUACUGACGCUGAGGCACGAAAGCGUGGGGAGCAAACAGG